rnacentral:rRNA from 1 species
GACGAACGCUGGCGGCGUGCUUAACACAUGCAAGUCGAACGGAAAGGCCCUGCUUUUGUGGGGUGCUCGAGUGGCGAACGGGUGAGUAACACGUGAGUAACCUGCCCUUGACUUUGGGAUAACUUCAGGAAACUGGGGCUAAUACCGGAUAGGAGCUCCUGCUGCAUGGUGGGGGUUGGAAAGUUUCGGCGGUUGGGGAUGGACUCGCGGCUUAUCAGCUUGUUGGUGGGGUAGUGGCUUACCAAGGCUUUGACGGGUAGCCGGCCUGAGAGGGUGACCGGCCACAUUGGGACUGAGAUACGGCCCAGACUCCAACGGGAGGCAGCAGUGGGGAAUAUUGCACAAUGGGCGGAAGCCUGAUGCAGCAACGCCGCGUGCGGGAUGACGGCCUUCGGGUUGUAAACCGCUUUCGCCUGUGACGAAGCGUGAGUGACGGCAAUGGGUAAAGAAGCACCGGCUAACUACGUG